UACGUAGGGUGCAAGCGUUGUCCGGAAUUAUUGGGCGUAAAGAGCUCGUAGGCGGUCUGUUGCGUCGGCUGUGAAAACCCGAGGCUCAACCUCGGGCCUGCAGCCGAUACGGGCAGACUAGAGUUCGGCAGGGGAGACUGGAAUUCCUGGUGUAGCGGUGAAAUGCGCAGAUAUCAGGAGGAACACCGGUGGCGAAGGCGGGUCUCUGGGCCGAUACUGACGCUGAGGAGCGAAAGCGUGGGGAGCAAACAGG
rnacentral:rRNA from 1 species